UACAGAGGUGGCAAGCGUUGUUCGGAAUUACUGGGCGUAAAGGGCGCGUAGGCGGUUCGUUAAGUCCUGUGUGAAAUCCCCCGGCUCAACUGGGGAACUGCACAGGAAACUAGCGGGCUUGAGUUCGGGAGAGGGAAGCGGAAUUCCGGGUGUAGCGGUGAAAUGCGUAGAUAUCCGGAGGAACACCGGUGGCGAAGGCGGCUAGCUGGGCCAAUACUGACGCUGAGACACGAAAGCGUGGGGAGCAAACGGG
rnacentral:rRNA from 1 species